CCUUCAUGAAGCUGGAAUUGUUAGUAAUGGCAGGUCAGCAUACUGCCGUGAAUACGUUCCCGGGCCUUGUACACACCGCCCGUCACACCAUGAGAGUUGGAAAUACCCGAAGCCUGUGAGCUAACUUAAAGAGGCAGCAGUCGAAGGUAGAGCCAAUGAUUGGGGUGAAGUCGUAACAAGGUACC
rnacentral:rRNA from 1 species